CCUAGUGGGUAACAGCACCCACUCAGUAUCAACAGAGUUUGAUGACAGAGGGUGAGGGUGGUCCCCAUAGGUGUCUGGAGCUUGUAUCCCUUCCCUGGCAUAAAUGAGGCCCCUUUAGUUACAUACCACAGACUUUAAUGGAGGGUGUGCCCCCUUGGUGUGCAUGGCAUGCACACUUUUACUUUCAUAAAUGGCAACCAGCAGGUAGCAGUGCCCACUCACUAUCAUCAGAGUUUAAUGACCGAGGGUGGUGGUGGUCCCCAUAGGUGUGUGGGGCUUGUAUCCCUUUAGUGGCACAGAUGAUGCCCCUUUAAUGGAGUGCGUGCACACUGUUACUUUCAUAAAUAUCGGCCAGCUGGUAGCAGUGCCCACUCA